GGGGAUGAGAGGCCAGAACAUCAGUCUCAUCUUCAUGGAGGAAAUUGAUGUCAGAUGCAGUGAACCUGCUGAGAGAUGAAGGAGGGGAUGAGAGGCCAGAACAUCAGUCUCAUCUUCAUGGAGGACAUUGAUGCCAGAUGCAGUGAACCUGCUGAGAGAUGAAGGAGGGGAUGAGAGGCCAGAACAUCAGUCUCAUCUUCAUGGAGGACAUUGAUGCCAGAUGCAGUGAACCUGCUGAGAGAUGAAGGAGGGGAUGAGAGGCCAGAACAUCAACCUCAUCUUCAUGGAGGACAUUGAUGCCAGAUGCAGCUACAUAGAAACUUUCCUGAAUUGAAUCAUGGGACCAGAUUGGUUGUUCCAGGUUUCCAUGCUGAUGGACAUGACUUGCCAUGUCAGGUACUUGAACAGGAUCAUUAAUAUUAUCAAUGAAAUUCAACACCCGAUAUGUGGAAGGUGCUUGACUGGCAGAUGGGGAGCAGAUGGAGAGGCUGUGGUCGUAUCUGAGGC
rnacentral:lncRNA from 1 species